UUACAAUUUUAUUAUUAUUAUUAUUAUUUAACCUGAGAUAAAAAUCCCACUGUACAAGGGUCAGGUGCAACAGUACCUGGAAAAGCACAUGCUCUCUCGGAAAAUCGAAGACGCCGUCAAUGCCGUCGUUAGGGCCAAAACCCUCGAUCCCGUCAUCUUAAUCUCUCAUCAUAUGAGGAAAUCAGUUCCUUCGGUGAUCACGAAGAUUAAAGCGAGGCAGAUCCUCGAUAGCAGAGGAAUUCCUACCGUUGAAGUCGAUUUGUUCAACAACAAAGGCAUGUUCCGAGCCUCUGUUCCAAGCGGCGAUACUACUGGAAUGUGCAUUGGGAGUUCAACUCAAUGAAUGGUCAAGGAGAGUUCAAAUUUCACUAUUUGUGGGAUUGAAAGCUAGAACGUGUGUGAGUUCAAAUUACAAGUGCUUGAUUCCUCAAUGUGCUUGAAACUGUGGGAGGGGCUCAUUGGCUGGCAAAGAGUGUGGAAGCUAGGAAUAUAAACUCUUGGAAUGAUCCUCUUGGUGCACUUGUUGUUGGCAUUCAUCAGUUAGGGUUAUCUGGUUGGAAGCCAGAGGAAUCUGCUGCCAUUGAAAAUGAACUUCUUGCCUAGAGAGAGAGAGGUCUCUCUGAAAGGGAAGGUGCCAUCAUCUUCUUUUUGCUUUAGUUCUCUAUUGUAUGAUUAAUAAUACAAUAUUUAGGCUUGCAUCAAAAUUCGUAACCUGGGUCUCUCCCCCCCCCCCAAAAAAAAAAUGAAUAAUAAAGGAAGUGAAGAUGGCAAGAUGAUCUGGGCAUUAAGGCUUAAAGCUACUUUUGAUAGAGCCAGGAGGCUAACUGAAGAAUUUUCUGAAACACUUCUUCAAAUAUUCCCUCAAAAAGUCCAGGUAAGAAAGGAAAAAGAAAAGAAUUUGCUUUUCUUUUAGGUUGAAAAUAUCUAUGUAUCGUAUUAUUAAAGAUUUGAAACCUGCAUAUGGGUCUUCUCGGAUGAUGACUUUGUAAAAUACUAUUUUUCUUUGGGUACCUUAUUUCAUAAACAACAUGUGGAACGUAACUGAACAAACUGUAUGUUUUGUGCCCCCUGCUAAAAACCUCUACUCUCCACUGCUUAGUGCUUACAAGAUGUGUAUGGAGGCCACUUUAGUAGACAAUGGCUUGCAUUACAAAUGUGCUCUUGUGAUUCAUGGAAUGCAAUCAUGUCAUUUUGUAGGAGGUUAAACAAGAAUGAAUGAUCCCCAAGAGACACACACUUUGUUCCAAAUCAGUUAUGAAAUAAGGCAUCAAAAGAACUUAGCGAUUAAUGGGAUCUCAUGCACAUUGAAGAUGACCCGGCUAUAGAUGUCUGGAUGGCAGAUGUGAGUCACUAUGUUUUUAAAAUUUCCAAUGAAUUGGUCUUGAAGGUUAAAGGUUAUAAGAAUCUUCUAUUUUGAAAGGUAGGUGAACAAUGUAAAUUUAAGAGUGUAAAGGGCAGUAUGUAGAGUAGUUGAGUUGUAUUGAUUUUUACAGUUUGUUUCAGGUUAUUAAAUUUUGAUUAAUGUGAAA